CCGUAAAACACCAAAGAAGAAGAAGAAGAAGACAAAGAGAUGCUCUUUUGUGGAAAAAACACUACAGCGAAGAGAGGCAUGGCAGCACUACACACAAAACGGAAAAUUACAAACAAUGACCACUCAAUGUCGAGCUUUCAAAACGUCAAGGAGGAUUCAUGCUGAAGUUAUGCUUCUUUAUAUAAUAGUAUGCCAGUAUGGGUGCAGUGAGGGGGUGGCAGAGACAGCAGCUGGUUCCAACAUCACAGUGAAAGUGGGGGAGAGCAUCAAGUUUCCUUUCUCAGCUGAGGGCAACCAAAGCUACAGCGUUGACCUACUUUUUAAUACAUUUAUAAUAGCUAAAUGGCAUUUUCCUGAAAUAACCUUUUUUGUUCGAGAACAAUAUAAGGGAAGGGUCAGCAUUGGUAAUGACUCGAUAUGGCUGAACAAAUUAAGCCUAUCAGAUUCUGGCCUUUAUCAAGUUAAAAUUGAGUAUACAUCGGGCGGUUUUAAACCACAGAAGUAUACAGCCUUUCACCUGCAGGUUUUUGAGCCCGUCUCUAAACUCAACAUCACAGCUGAGUGCCUGGGGAGUAAUGUCAGUCUGCACUGCUUCAGCAGUCAGGGGACUGCAGUGAUUUACAGCUGGGAAACUCUGCCCCCUUGUGGUAAUGACAGCUGUGUGCACCUGGGCCAAGGGAUAGAUCUCCAGUUGCAAGCCCUCUCUCCAUCCACAACGUACAUGUGUACAGCCCAUAACCCUGUCAGCAGAGCCACCAGCGAUUCUGUUGAUCUGGAAAUGUGCUUCCCGCAACGAUCACAAGUUAGAUGGGUUCCAGCCUUGUGUGCCACAUCAGCAUUCCUCGCCUUCGGAGUACUAAUACUGCUGUACAAGAGAAAAAAGUAAACAGUACAAAAGUGAGACAAUUCAAGUGGAAGUUGAUGAGCCGGUCAUGGAAGAGGAGCCACCAUCCGCAGUGCCUUCCAUUGAUCCAGUAUAUGUCAGCACGCUUUGUUCAAGUUAUCUCAGGGGCAACUGAGAGGACCUCUGCAUAGACUAAAUAUUCAAGCAUUAUAUAGACAGGAAGAAGGAAAGCCAAUGGGGAAUGUGAAGCCCUGUUGAAAUUAAACUAUAACAACACACUUUAAAUCAAGGAAUAGAAAUCUAACAUUCUAGCAGGUCCUUGCCAGUGAUACAUUAAAGAGGUAAUCCGGCUCAUUGGUGAGAAGCCGGGCUAGAGCUUUCCAUCUGUGGUGCAUCUUUUAUUGAAAUGACUCCAAGAUAAAUCAUUGCUGGCAACUGAAACAAAGGAAGCUAAUGAAUUCUAUUUUCAUUUUAUUUUACCUCCUGCGAUUGUUUCAUUCAUCUUUGCAUUUCAGCCAUGUAAAUCACUCUGGAUAAGAAUUUCAGCUUAAUGAAAGAGCGAUAUUAUAUUGUAUAUUGGUGCUGCAUAGGUAUGGGGCAUGGUGCCCCACCAAGGUAUAACUUGCCAUCUAAUAUGUGCCAUCCAAAUCUGUAAAUAUACUGUGCCAUUUUGUUUACGAAAGCAUUUACGCAUAAAAAUAAUUAAAUGUUAAAUUACUGACAACUGAAAUAUGUGUAAUUUAGCUUGAAAAAAUUUUAAAAUAUUUGUCAAUUUAGUGAUGUUCAUUUGGUAAUUUCUUAUUUUAUUAAAGUAUUUUUAAAACAAAUUUUUUAUACAGUAUGAAACACAGUUGUGGACAAAAUGAUAUUGGUUAAAGCUGCCUCUGUAUCAGCACUGAAUACUGGCUGAGCACUGAGUUUUGUAAUAAAGUGACUUUUUUAAUA